ACAGAUGCUGUUGUGUAAUGUAUUGACUUCAUUAAAACUUUUGUUUGUAAGAUGCUGAUUAGACACGCUGGAUACUACCAAAUGGACCUUACUCAAGAAGUAUGAGAAAACUUUGCUGUGGUUGUAAAAUACUAAUACAAGAGAUGAUAAAGAUGCAACAAGUUCUUUUUGCAACAAUAGUUCUAUGCAAUGAUUUCAAAGUUCUCACGAACAGAGAAGGAAUCAAUGCUAGCUGAAGCAGCAGAC